rnacentral:misc_RNA from 1 species
GAUGAAGAACGUAGUGAAAUGCGAUAGGUAGUGUGAAUUGCAGAUGUAACGUGAAUCAUCGAAUCUUUGAACGCAAAUUGCACUCUCUGGUAUUCCGGGGAGUAUGCCUGUUUGAGGGUCGCCAAAUCAACAUCGAAAUUCAUUUGCUUUUGUAAAUGUUUAUCGGAUUUGAGCCGUCUUUUAUUUUUUUAAUUAAAGUGGCUUAAAAUGUAUUUUUUGGUAUCGAAAAACGUUAUUUUACGAUCAAAUUGAUUAAAAAAACAAACGUUUCGAAUGCCGUCUUUUAAUGUAAUACGCUUGACUGUGGUGUUAAUCAUAGUUUCAUUCGUAUACGAUUUUUUAAUUUUUGACCUCAAAUCAGGUAAGAACACCCGCUGAACUUAAGCAUAUCAAUAAGCGGAGGA